AUGACAAUUGACGGGGAUCAAGGGAUUGCCCAUUCUGUGCCUGUAAGAACGGAUUCGUGCCAGAGAAACUCAUCAAGUGGAGGCGGAGAAGAAAGACCGUUCGGGGCUUGUCAAUGCGACCAUUGCUUUGAUGGGAGGCUCCUCAAGGAUCUGCAUCCAUCCUGGCUUUUGCAGUUCUCUGUCAUCACCAGAGAAUUCAAGGGCACAUGUCAUCUGGAAAGAAGACGUUUAGAGAUUUCCUACUCCAUCUUCCUCACAAAUGCCGAGGCCCAGAGAAGUAACCUGUCCAAGGUCACAGAGCUCAUAGCUGAGCUACAACCGGAGUUCAGAUCUCUCAUCCCAUCGCACCCCAAAAAACACCCAGCCUCCCAUGCAUCACCGCUCCCCUCCCAACCUGCCUCUGAGAGGGCUUCUCCGCCCUUCCACAAGGUCAGGCAACCCCAGCUCCGAGGCUUUGUCUGUAUGUUCCUGUUCUCACUGCCCUGCUCUCCUUCCUGCCACAUGAGGCCCAGCCCCAGCCUUCCCAGCCCAGCUCCAUUCUACGGACAGUUCCUGAAUAUCAGUUAA
rnacentral:lncRNA from 1 species